AAAAGAAACCAACAGGGAUUGCCUUAGUAGCGGCGAGUGAAGCGGCAAAAGCUCAAAUUUGAAAUCUGGCACUUUCAGUGUCCGAGUUGUAAUUUGAAGAAGGUAUCUUUGGGUCUGGCUCUUGUCUAUGUUUCUUGGAACAGAACGUCACAGAGGGUGAGAAUCCCGUGCGAUGAGAUGUCCCAGACCUAUGUAAAGUUCCUUCGAAGAGUCGAGUUGUUUGGGAAUGCAGCUCUAAGUGGGUGGUAAAUUCCAUCUAAAGCUAAAUAUUGGCGAGAGACCGAUAGCGAACAAGUACAGUGAUGGAAAGAUGAAAAGAACUUUGAAAAGAGAGUGAAAAAGUACGUGAAAUUGUUGAAAGGGAAGGGCUUGAGAUCAGACUUGGUAUUUUGUAUGUUACUCUCUCGGGGGUGGCCUCUACAGUUUACCGGGCCAGCAUCAGUUUGAGCGGUAGGAUAAGUGCAAAGAAAUGUGGCACUGCUUCGGUAGUGUGUUAUAGUCUUUGUCGAUACUGCCAGCUUAGACUGAGGACUGCGGCUUCGGCCUAGGAUGUUGGCAUAAUGAUCUUAAUC
rnacentral:rRNA from 1 species